UUGUGGGACAGUGCCUGUCAUUGUGGGACAGUGACGACAUCCUGGUGUUCAGAGUGGAAUAGUGUGUACAUUUGCUGCUGGGUCGGGUCAACGAUGCUGAGGAUGUGGGGGACAAGCAUGACGCAGAAGGAGAGCACCAGCAUUAAUAUCGAGUUGGCCAAGCAACAGCACCAGUCUGGCCUGCAGGAGCCCCAAUACAGAACCAUCCUUUCCCUCCCCUGAUCCCUAGCUCCUCCCACUGGACCUCCGGCCUCAAAGGGUCAGCAUCGUUACACAAGUCUGUGCAAUAAAUCCUCAGCACGUCAAGUUUUCACGCGCUGUUAUGAACAACCGAAAUAUCCGUGUCGAGAUUUCCCCAAGCAAGCCCGAGUAGUUUUGUUUAGCUCUAGUGCCAGAGUGGGAUGAGUGUUACAGAAGCGAGACGUUAUAGCAGUACUUAUGGUAACGCAAACAGUUAACGCUAACAGUUAGUUCCUGCUGUGGACAUCACGAAGAAUCUCACGAAGGAUUAAACGUUGAAUAGUUUGUUUAAUUCUUUAUAAGACAGCUAUAUAUUCAGCAAGGAACGAGAGAAAAAAAGGAACAAUUGAAAUGAUUCAUUCAGAAGUAUAUCUGCUGUAGAUAGUUAGGACAGUAGUAGCGUUACAGACUGUCCUCAGCGCACAAUAUAUUCAUGUGGUGCACCACAGACGCAAAUUCCCCCAUUAUUGAAAACAAGUUGCUAAAAGUAAACACGUCCGGUUAUGUACUCCGAGCCCAAAGGGCAUUGCAUUGAAUUGGGACUAAAGAAGGCUAAAAAACAUGACACCAGUUUUGUUGUAUGCUCCAGUACACCCUUCAACUCUCAGUCCGAAGUUAAUCAGAACUCAAACUCGGCCCUUAACAAUAUAUGGCCAGCAUAUCAGCUCAGCUUCUGAGCUUCAGCAACUGCUAAGCUCAUAAGACCAAGGAGUAGUGAAAGGCUCAGCCAAAUCAAAGUCCAGCGAUGUGAGGGUGAGACAGCCUUCCCAUGUCCUCGUAUUGCAACAUGAAGGACAUUUUAGCUGAAACUAACAAGGGAGAGAACUGUAGAUCUGCACCAGCACAGAGCACCAGCAUUGAUAUCGAGUUGGCCCAGCAACCGCACGAGUCCCGCCUGCAGGAGCCCCAGUCCAGAGCAACCCUUCCCCUCCCCUGACUUCUAACUCCUUCCCCUUGACCUCCUGACUGAAAAAGUCAGCAUCGUUGAACAACUCCGUUCUGCAGGAAAUUCUGAGCAUGAUUCUGGUAAAACGUCGAGUUGUCCACACAUAAGCCUGGGUAGUUUUGUUAAGCUAGAGUUCCGCGUGGGCCUGAGAGGGACGAGUUUUUCAGACACGAAAAGUUAUAGCAGUAGUUAUGGUAACGCUAACAGUCAGUUGUUGCUGUUGGACAUCACAACAAAUAUCCUGAAGAACAAAAAGUUCAAUAACUUGUUCCAAUCUUUAUGGGACAAACAGAAAUUGAACGGGAGAAAAUCAAGGAACAAUAAAAGCAUAAGCUUUCCUAGUGGGAUGCUUCUGCUGUUGAUAGUUUAGACGACAGUAGGGUUACGGACUGCCCCAGAUUGUCCAUUCAGCGGCCAAAAUAUCAUAAUAGAACGGACUUUUGGCAAUAUUACCGACAAAGAAAGGCAGUAAUGACUUGGUUGUGAAUACCCAGAGCACGAUACAUCCAUGCUGACACAAAAAGGCAGUAAUGACUUAGUGGUGAAAACCUAGAGCACGCUACAUCCUUGCUAACAAAGAAAUGCAGUAAUGACUUAGUUGUGAAUACCCAGAGCAUGCUACAUCCAUGCUGACACAGAAAGGCAGUAAUGACUAUUCUGUGAACACCCAGAGCAUGCUACAUCCAUGCUGACACAGAAAGGCAGUAAUGACUAUGCUGUGAACACCCAGAGCAUGCUACAUCCAUGUGGAAACAGAAAGGCAGUCACGACUAUGCUGUGAACACCCAGAGCACAAUAUAUCCAUGCUGACACAGAAAGGCAGUAAUGACUAUGCAGUGAACACCCAGAGCAAGAUAUAUCCAUGCUGACACAGAAAAGCAGUAAUGACUAUGCUGUGAACACCCAGAGCACAAUACAUCAUUUGCUGACACAGAAAGGCAGUAAUGACUUGGCUCUGAACACAGAGCACAAUACAUCCAUGCUGACACAGAAAGGCAGUAAUGACUUGGCUGUGAACACAGAGCAACAUACAUCCGUGCUGACACAGAAAGGCAGUAAUGACUUGGCUGUGAACACAGAGCUUAAUAUAUCCAUGCUGACACAGAAAGGCAGUAAUGACUUGACUGUGAACACAGAGCACAAUACAUCCAUGCUGACACAGAAAGGCAAUUAUGACUUGGUUGUGAACACAGAGCACAAUACAUCCUUGUUGACACAGAAAAGCAGUAAUGACUUUGCUGUGAACUCAGAGCACGAUACAUCCAUGCUGACACAGAAAGGCAGUAAUGACUUGGAUGUAAACACCCAGAGCGAAAUACAUCCAUACUGACACAGAUUGACAGUAAAGACUUGGUUGUAAACACCCAGAGCACAAUACAUCCAUGAUGACACAGAAAGGCAGUAAAGACCUUGUUGUAAACACUAAGAGAUCCAUACAUACAUGGGGUGUGCCACAGCCGCAAAUUACGCCCACUAUUGUGAACAAGGUGCUUAAAGUGAACAUGUCUGGGUUUGGUAUGAGGACUUAGCACUCCAAGCCCAGAAGGCCUCGCAUUGAAUUGAUGCAAGAGAAGGCUUUGAAAAAUGUUAGCAGUUUUGUUGUGUGGUCCAGUACGCCCUUCGACUCUCAACCUGAAGAAAGCAGAACUCAAACUCGGCUCUUAGCAAUAUCAACAAGGCCAGCAUGUCAUCUCCGCUUCUUGAGCUUCAGUGAACUUUACUAGCAAACAUGACAAACGUCAUUGAAAUGAAAGUCGAUGACAACCCCCUUCUUGCACAAAUACUACAACUUGCUUAAGAAAAUCAGCAUGAAGACGUCUUGCGUCAGACUACCAAGCCUCCUAUCAAUAUAUCCUCCCAUGUUGGCUACAUCAACACUUCCAACAGCAGAGCCUUGGUGAGUUUGACUUCCGUCUCAGCAUCCAUGUCGCUUAGCAACAAUUGAAUGAUGGGCGUCGACAAAUUAGGCCGGACAAGUCGCUCAAACUGAAACGAUCUGAUCCAACAGGUAGAGCAAGCGUUGCAUGACACGUCCAUUAAUGUGACUGACCUCGAUAUGUUGUUCUCGAAUAAUGUGAACCUUAGGCCUGGAGAGCAGUAUGCGAUUGACGCCAUUCAACAACAGUUGUUAUUGGCAAUUCUCAGGUUUGGGGUGGCGACUUCAGCGUCAGGACUUGCUCCAUCUCUGUCUAUGGCCCAGUCCCAGCAGCAGCAGCAGCAGCAGCAGCAACAAGAACAAUAAGUAGUAUCUGAGCAGUGUUCUGGGAUAUGGGGCUUCAUGUAUGUGCUUAAAUUGUCAUCCCAGAUGAGCCUGUGCAGACUGCACAUACAUUAAGUCCUAUUAAAGUGUCAUCCCAGACUAGCCUGUGCAGAUUGCACAUACAUUAAGUACUAUUAAAUUGUCAUCCCAGAUUAGCCUGUGCAGACUGCACAUACAUUAAGCCCUAUUAAAGUGUCAUCUCAUAUUAGCCUGUGCAGACUGCACAUACAUUAAGUCCUAUUAAAAUGUCAUCCCAUAUUAGCCUGUGCAGACUGCACAUACAUUAAGUCCUAUUAAAUUGUCAUCCCAGAUAAGCCUGUGCAGACUGCACAUACAUUAAGUCCUAUUAAAGUGUCAUCCCAGAUAAGCCUGUGCAGACUGCACAUACAUCAAGUCCUAUUAAAAUGUCAUCCCAUAUUAGCCGGUGCAGACUGCACAUACAUUAAGUCCUAUUAAAGUGUCAUCCCUGAUUAGCCUGUGAAGACUGCACAUACAUUAAGUCCUAUUUAUCCGAGAAUGAGGCUCAUAUAGUUCACUUAACGUCAGUCCUUUUUCUACCUGAUUGAGGAAAAGUUCCUAGCAUAAAAUGUGAAUUCUAUGAUUUAUCAAACUUGGUAAAUAAAUAGCAAAUAAAAGUUAAUCUGAUAUCAGUUUUAAUCAAAGGUCAGGGCAUAGUUUUGUAUAUUUUUCUGCUGAAAUUUAGCCCUUGAACAACAGUUUCUCCUUGCAAUAAAAAAAUCUAAUUUAAUUAUUAAAUUCUAUUUAAUUUAAGUAAAACAAUUAUUUAAUCCCUUCAGCACAUUAUACAAUUAUUAUCUUCAUUUAUUUUCAAUAUUUAUUUAAAUUGCCGAAUUUUGUUUUAAGAGCUAGUUCCUAGCAAUCAAUAGAUCGGUACUCUGCUGAAAAACAGGAUCUCUGGUCAGCUGGGCCCAGACGCCCAGCAACACUUCCUGGCCCAGGACCUUGGGGCAAAUGCUCAACAUGUUCUAUCUGCAUGGUGAAGCCUGUCUAAACCUUGGGCUCCAAACUUUCCUGCUGUGGGGCCGAAAUUACCUCAUCCAUAAGGGACACAUUUCUGGGAUGCGCUAAGGUCCUUUUAUCUGUUCACAGAGGCCUUAUACUCACAAGUUCAGGCCCAGAGAACGGUGUUCCCCAACUACAACACAACCAGUACGUCUCAAUAGAGGACACCCUUCCUGAAAACCUCGCUGAGUGCGACUGCGCCAUACGUGACCCUUAAGUGAAAUGAGAUUCCAGGCUGAAUGUCAAACCGGUACUACUCAGGUCUUCAGCAAUAGCCUCAGCCUUGGACGCAGGUUCAUGAUGCACCCGUGGCCUUACUUAUUUCUGAACAUCUCAAUCUCACAGCAAUUGAUGUGAAUUAAUGAUAAUAAGACUCCACAAACCACGUUUUGUAGAGGGUAUAUUGGAGUCAAUUUUCUGUUAGUUGUUUAGUCAAUGCGGCAUUUUUUGCAUAUAUUAUAAAAAGAUUUGUAUCAAAUCUAAAUUUCUCAAAGGAUUAAAUUGGAACUUAAAUUGUGUGAAACCAUUGAACAGUAAGUGAUAAGUGGUGAUUUUUUUUGCAUGCAAAGCCCCAUCGUUUCAUUGGCCAAGUCACUCUUUUACCCAGUAUUAUUUUACUUUCAGUAUCUCACCAUACAUGGGAAAUCAGAAGAUAUGAAACUUAUAUUCUAAUCAGGGUUUUAACUAACAUUUUGCCCACAUUUGCGCUGUAACCUAUAUGCAAUUCUGGGUUAUAACUAACAUUGUGUCCACAGUUGCGCAAAGUUGUUUGAAUAGUAGUGUCUAAAAACAAAUAAAGCAUAGUCACUUGCAUCCCUUGUAAUCAAUCAUGUUCAUGAAGGAGCCAUUGUGAAAUAUUAUGUUGCAUUUUGACAAAUUGCCAAGCAUAUGUCUUUUAGCUUAUCUUGUUAAGUGUUUUGCAGUACCAAGCCACGUCGACGCAGCAGCAAAAACAACAGUAGCAGUCUAGUUAAGGGUCACCCCGCAAUGUUCAGUGCCUAGCGAUGAAAUCAUCCACCAUUACAUGUAGUUGGUUGAGGGUGGCCCAAAACCACCCGGUGCCUUGCGAUGAAAACCUCCAACGGGACUGUAACCUUGCCCUUGUACACACCUAAUGGUCAGGUAUAAGGUCACUUGGGCUUAGAUAGUCACUGCAGUAAGAACAUGUAAGGUUUAAAAGGACAUCCGAGACUGCAAUGACGAAAUGAGUGUCCUCACUUCAGCAGUGGAGGCCAAUACACAAUACGAGAGUUUCCAGCGGCUUACCUUAUCUGAAAACCUGGGUAGCAGAGCAAUGAGUAUAUCCCAGGAGCAUUUGCAGUCAUCGUCUCCAGAUUAUGAGAUCCCCAUGCUCCACAACCCUCAUUCUAUGAACAUCAUGCAGAGCGAACCUUGGACGUACCUUGACGAAAUCAAACCAGCAAAUCAGAAGGACAGCCUGCUGCUACCGUUGUUAUCAUAUUAACCCCAUACCGAAAAAGCUCAGAGAUAUAAAGGCUGUUUAAGAUGUGCUUGUCUCUACAUACCCCGUGUCUGGUGUGAACAUGUACAAUUGAAUGUCUCUACAUACUCCAUGUCUGCUGUGAACAUGUACAAUUGAAGGUCUCUACAUACUCCAUGUCUGGUGUGAACAUGUACAAUUGAAGAUCUCUACAUACUCCAUGUCUGGUGUGAACAUGUACAAUUGAAGGUCUCUACAUACUCCAUGUCUGGUGUGAACAUGUACAAUUGAAGAUCUCUACAUACUCCAUGUCUGGUGUGAACAUGUACAAUUGAAGAUCUCUACAUACUCCAUGUCUGGUGUGAACAUGUACAAUUGAAGGUCUCUACAUACCUCAUGUCUGGUGUGAACAUGUACAAUUGAAGGUCUCUACAUACUCCAUGUCUGGUGUGAACAUGUACAAUUGAAGGUCUCUACAUACCUCAUGUCUGGUGUGAACAUGUACAAUUGAAGGUCUCUACAUACCCCAUGUCAGGUGUGAACAUGUACAAUUGAAGGUCUCUACAUACCCCAUGUCUGGUGUGAACAUGUACAAUUGAAGGUCUCUACAUACCUCAUGUCUGGUGUGAACAUGUACAAUUGAAGGUCUCUACAUACCCCGUGUCUGGUGUGAACAUGUACAAUUGAAGGUCUCUACAUACCCCAUGUCUGAUGUGAACAUGUACAAUUGAAGGUCUCUGCAUACUCCAUGUCUGGUGUGAACAUGUACAAUUGAAAGUCUCUACAUACCCCAUGUCUGGUGUGAACAUGUACAAUUGAAGGUCUCUACAUACUCCAUGUCUGGUGUGAACAUGUACAAUUGAAGGUCUCUGCAUACCCCAUGUCUGGUGUGAACAUGUACAAUUGAAGGUCUCUACAUACCUCAUGUCUGGUGUGAACAUGUACAAUUGAAGGUCUCUGCAUACCUCAUGUCUGGUGUGAACAUGUACAAUUGAAGGUCUCUACAUACCUCAUGUCUGGUGUGAACAUGUACAAUUGAAGGUCUCUGCAUACCUCAUGUCUGGUGUGAACAUGUACAAUUGAAGGUCUCUACAUACCUCAUGUCUGGUGUGAACAUGUACAAUUGAAGGUCUCUACAUACCUCAUGUCUGGUGUGAACAUAUACAAUUGAAGGUCUCUACAUACUCCAUGUCUAGUGUGAACAUGUACAAUUGCAGGUCUCUACAUACCCCAUGUCUGGUGUGAACAUGUACAAUUGAAUGUCUCAUCUUUGGAAUUGGGACACGUGGAAAAUUAGUGAUUUGAUUCAGACAGAAAUCGCAUAGUGACAAAUCACAACAAAAAAUGGAAAGCAAGAAAGUCUUGUGGCCAGCAAUGUUUUUAAGUGACCACUAAGUUGUGUUCAAAGAAAAACAAUCGUUCAUGUUUUAUUGGAACUAUGAUGCUGUCAGUCAUUUUAUGUUGAAGGCUUUAAAUAACUAUAUUUAAAUAUAAUAAGAUUAAGAUUACUUGAUAAAAGAAAUAAUGUUAUAUAGUAUUUUAAGCGCAAAAUUUACAAGUCUAUCCAAUUACUGUGUCUGUUUUAUGACAUUUUAUUUUGGAAAUGUUAAGGAAAAUAUAAUGUUAGUAAAUAUAUGUCUAUGAAUGUUGAUUUUGACAUUUGUCAAAGCUGUUUAAAUGAUGCUGGUAACUUCGACAAAAUUUAAAGAAAUGUAUUAUUUUCAUGUAAUGAGACAUGCUUCAGUUUUUUGUGGCUUAACCUGUAAUAUAGAGGUGGUAGUUACAAGAAUUGUUAAGCCAGAUGGAGAAUGUUUAUGCUAUGGCUUUGAUACUCUUAAGUGUGCCCAUUGGUGUCAGGUUUUUAUCAAGAAUAUUGUUUAUUGUCUAACAAUUUCUUGAAAAUAUUGAUUAAUUUUAGACAAAAUCAUUUAAUCUUCCUUAAAUUGUCUAUUCUGUAUUCACGACCAGUUAUUUAUUAAUUUGCAUGAAUAUGAUUUAUGAAUGACUUUUGUGUUGCUUAAAAUGCUUUAUUUGUUUUGGAACUGAGUAUUUAAAAACGAAAAUAUGAGGUGUAGGAAAAAUGGCCAAAGUUAUGAUAAUUAUUUUUUUGUUUUUGUAAAGUUUAUUAUGCUUUAUAUGUUUGUGUAUAGGCAUUUAGACGACCAGAUUAACUUGACCAAUAAUUCGUGCUCACUGUAUAUAUCGGUCAGUACAUUAGUCACUUGUAUAUAUAGCGAUUGUGAAAUGAUUGUAUUUGCAAUGUAAAUCAUGCGUUUAUUGUUGCCAUUUUGAUUUUCGCUGUUAACAUUUAUUUGUUAUAACAAUUUUCAUCAUGUACAUCUUUUAGGUGCCAGAUAAUAUAAAAAAACAUUGCUUGUGGAGAUGCUCAUUAAAAACUUUCUAAAUGAUACAGAACAACACAUUCUGAAGAGGCAAAUAUCCUUUAGACAAUAGGAACAUCUUGUUACUAGUAUGUGUAAUGCCUUUCACUAAAUAAAGUCAAGCAACUAUUGAAAGAUUGGUUUAACUUUGUUUUGCAUUAUCUUAAGAAAAAUUAAUAUAUUCAACUUGGAAAUCAGUCAAUUGGAAAUCAAGCGAGAGUGAUUUAACAUGCUAACACUUGUCAAUAAUUGAAUUGUCUCUCUUUGUAUGUAAGAUAUAGGGAUGUUGUUGCUUGAAAAACAAAGUUGUAUCCGUUGUUAGAUAAUGUUUUUGUUCAUCUCUCAACAUAACAAGUACAUUCAUACAGUUAUUAAAAAUAUGACACUCUUUAUUCUCAGCCAUCAGUUUGUAUUGGGAUUUUGUGGAAUACUUACUAAACUAAUAUACGUCUGUUUAAUGAAUGAAUAGCUAUGGUACAAUAUGAUACUCAGUGUUACAAAACAUGUGUAAUAAAAAUAUAAUGUCAUUUAUUUGAAAUCUUAAAAUUUAGUUGUCCAUACAAUGCUUACAGUUUUGCAAUUGCGAUGAUAAAGGAAAUGUUCUGCUCAAAAUGUCUUUUUAAGACAUGUGAAAAUUGUAGCAAUCAUAUUGUACUUGUAUUUAUAUUAUACAUGAUAAGAAUUUACUUACGGCUGAUGCUAGCGGCUGUUUACUAUUUGUGUUACAGUUUGUUUCACUCGACCAUUAGACCAUAUUUCCUUAAAAAUGUGAUUGUUUAUAUUGAACUUUAAUUGAAUGCAUGAAACAUGAUUGUUCUGUUGCUUAACAGCUGAAAAUAGCUUGAUGUUUGUUCAUUGUGUGAAAUGUUUCAAAUAAAUCAUAUUGAUUACAUAAAAAAAUAAAAUUACAUUUUGCGUUACUUUAAAUGCAUAACAAACAAUUGUUACCAUACACUCAUAUUAGUAUUGAACUUAAUUAAUACUUUAAGAUGCAUUUUUUACAAUAAUGUUUUAAUAUUGUCAUCCAUUCCAAAUAAACAUUGUGCAUUCGUAAAUAUAGGGUGUAUAUACACUGCUUAGAUGCCUUUUUUAAAAUGCUUGUGUACGUCAUAUUGAUUAAAGACUCUUAUGUAUUGCAUAUUUGUGUGUGCCUAUGUCUUACUUAUCUCUUCAUAGUCCUUAAAUUACUGCAAAUAGUAUUUUAAUAAUGUUAAAAUAUUUAUCUAAACUAUAACCAGGUUAUCUGUUAAUUUAGGUUUCAUACAUUGUAUUGUCUAGCUAAUUAAAUUGAAGUGUCUAUAUUCUCGCCAACAUGCAUUGUCGGUGUCUGGUUUAGACAAAGCACAUUACACAACUCCUGUUGUUUUUCUCCAUCAUUAAUAACCAAUGUUUAUUCUGUAGAGGUUGCAUUAUACUAAAUAUUUCAGUUGUGCAAUGCUUUGCUCUCUUAAUAAAUCAGCACUAUUUAUUGAUUUUUUAUAUGGGCACUUCCCAUGACUUUAUACGUGAAUAUUUCUUUGAAUGUGCGGUAGGGAAAACAUUGUUUGCUUGAAGGUUUAGAAACUUAAUGUUGACAUCUUGAAAGAUGGCAGAAAACAUUUAACUGCAGAGUAGCUGUGAAAAGAUGUAUGUUAAACAUAUAAUAAACAAUGUAAGACAGAACUCCACGCAAGAUAUGUCAUGCAUUCGAUAUGCAUGAACUAUCUUUUUUAAUUAAUUUGGAUCGGAAUUAUCUUUUAGAAAUGGUAUGGUUAUGAGGGUCUCUAUGUGCAAAAUGUUGCAUUUAUUUUGUGUACAAGUUAUUGCUUAAACAUUGAAUUUGUUAUGGAAAUAAUAUAGUUUAUGUGCCUUUAAGAGAUAUACAUGUUUAUGUUAGUGAUGUGUUUUUGCUGAUCAAAGUCUGUUCCUGCACACUAUUUAAAGUAGAUAACUACAAGUUAUCACAUUUAAAUGGGAAUAGUAUUGUACUGUGGAAAAGUGUUGCGAGUUCAAAUAAAAAUACUAUGAA